UACGUAGGGGGCUAGCGUUGUCCGGAAUCAUUGGGCGUAAAGCGCGUGUAGGCGGUCCGGUAAGUCCGCUGUGAAAACUCGAGGCUCAACCUCGAGCUGUCGGUGGAAACCACAUGGCUAGAGUCCGGAAGAGGAGAGUGGAAUUCCUGGUGUAGCGGUGAAAUGCGCAGAUAUCAGGAAGAACACCAAUGGCGAAGGCAGCUCUCUGGGACGGUACUGACACUGAGACGCGAAAGCGUGGGGAGCAAACAGG
rnacentral:rRNA from 1 species